AUGGCCGACUCAGGAUGUUGAUAUUUUUUCAAGGGCUUAUUUCCUGAAAUUUUGAAUGGAAAGUGUCAGAAAUAGUAAGAAUACUGCUUUUUUAUUGCCCAGCAGUGCCAGGGCAAUGUUUCAUAGAGUGGAAUGAUUGACCUCAACACAAGUAUUAAAAAAAAAGAAGCAAAACAGGUCUACAUCUCAAAACCUGAUCUCUUCCUGGACUGGCUUUAGGAGAACGAUGAUGCAUAUCAAUUUCAUCCCUGAUCUCUAUGACACCUGUGGUGGAAGUGGAGGGCAAAUCGUAAUCAGUUUGGGACCUCUGUAAACUUUGCUUUUUGGUGAUGACUUAAUUUCCGAGCUUGAAAAGGACGCUUGUGUGUUUAUCAUGGCCUCUCAUAUUGGAAGAUAACAUUAAUGGCUUGUGUGUUGAUCGACGGUUGUGCAUAUCUCUUGGUCAGGAAAGUUGUAGGCACCAUCGCCAUUGUAAAUCAUUUGACAGGCUCGAGUGAACGGGGCGACCUAUGAUUGGUCAGCAAUGUAUCAGAUUCCAUACCGGGGGGGUGGGGAUGAAAAAACUGUUGUAGUGUUACAUAAUCAGAUUAUUUCAACUUACUUAUCCUGUGGAAAUACAGCUAUAUAGGAGAUAUUUUGAAAUUCAUAGGCACUGCAUGUUUCAACAUUUUAGAUUUGACCACAAUUUGGCACUUAAAACUAUGUUAACAGAGAAAAACUGUGUGGUUUUCGAUGAAAGUGUUAAAAGUCUAAUAUUGCAUCAUGAUUACUGUUUUAAAGUAUUUUCGUGUUUGAUUUAUAUUGAAUUCAUCUCAUCUUUUUGAAGAAUGCAUUUAUGUUCAAAAAUAAAAAUGUUCUGUGGAAUUCAAAAUUCAUGUGCUUUUAAAUUAUCAGAUUCCAAACUGGGGGGUAGGGAUGAAAAAGCUGUUGUAGUGUUACAUAAUCAGAUUAUUUCAACUUACUUAUCCUAUGGAAAUACAGCUAUAUAGGAGAUAUUUUAAAAUUCAUAGGCACUGCAUGUUUCAACAUUUUAGAUUUGACCACAAUUUGGCACUUGAAACUACGUUAACAGAGAAAAACUGUGUGGUUUUCGAUGAAAGUGUUAAAAAGUCUAAUAUUGCAUCAUGAUUACUGUUUUAAAGUAUUUUCGUGUUUGAUUUAUAUUGAAUUUAUCUCAUCUUUUUACAGAAUGCAUUUAUGUUCAAAAAUAAAAAUGUUCUGUUUAAUUCAAAAUUCAUGUGCUUUUAAAUUUCUGU